rnacentral:ncRNA from 1 species
UCAGCUGACAGCAUGUCUGGCUAUGCACAAUGCUAAUAUGCUUAAAUUCAGCGGGUCGCCACGUCUGAUCUGAGGUCGCAUGGAGCAGAAGGGCAAAAGCUCGCUUGAUCUUGAUUUUCAGUACGAAUACAGACCGUGAAAGCGGGGCCUCACGAUCCUUCUGGCUUUUUGGGUUUUAAGCAGGAG